GAUGAACGCUGGCGGCGUGCCUAAUACAUGCAAGUCGAGCGAACGGACGAGAAGCUUGCUGCUCUGAUGUUAGCGGCGGACGGGUGAGUAACACGUGGAUAACCUACCUAUAAGACGGGGAUAACUUCGGGAAACCGGAGCUAAUACCGGAGAAUAUUUUGAACCGCAUGGUUCAAAAGUGAAAGACGGUCUUGCUGUCACUUAUAGAUGGAUCCGCGCUGCAUUAGCGAGUUGGUAAGGUAACGGCUUACCAAGGCAACGAGGCAUAGCCGACCGGAUAGGCGGGUCGGCCACCCUGGAACUGGGACGCGGUCCCGGCUCCUACGGGAGGCCGCAGUAGGGAAUCUUCCGCAAUGGGCGAAAGCCUGACGGAGCAACCCCGCGUCAGUGAUGAAGGUCUUCGGAUCGUAAAACUCUGUUAUUAGGGAAGAACAGCUGUGUAAGUAACUGUGCACAUCUUGACGGUACCUAAUCAGAAAGCCACGGCUAACUACGUG
rnacentral:rRNA from 1 species